CAGAGUCAUAUGGGACCAAUCCUUAUUCUCUGCUGCAAUUGCUUAAUCUAAAGGGUCCGUUUGGAAAGCAGGAAUAGGACUGCAAAUUUCAUUCUCACAUGAAUGACAUUUUAGACUAUGAUUGGAAAUGCAUUAAAAACAAUUCUCCAAAAAUAAUUUAUUUAUAUUAAUCCUCCAUAAUAAUUUUUAUUUGUUCUCGGGAGUAAAAUUUGAUUUUCAAAAUUAUUUUUAUGAAAAUAAAAAUUUAUCAAAUAUAUUUUCUGAAUUAGUAAACUUCUUUCAAUAAUGAGGUUUUCAAUUCCUCGCUAUUCCAAUUUCUAACAUCCCUUAAAAAGCAAUGUUUGGUGAACAAAAAACGUCCAUGAAACAACAGUUUAUGAUUGGAAAAAGUAAACUAUUUCAAACUUUGGUAUCAAGCUCUUUUAGCAAGUCCAAAAAUCCUUUCAUCAAAUUAUCCAAAUGCCUAAAAUUUUAAAUUAUUAAUUAAUGAGAUAACUUUAAAUAGAAAAUACCAAUUUCAAGAUUUUUGAAAACCAUUGGACUUUGGGCCAGCUGGCACUGGAAGAAGUAAAAGAGAACUGAGAUCGUAAAAGCUUGUGGUAGGCAGUAGUCCAACCUUCUGAAGGCAACAGGGACGAUGCCAGCGCGGUACUGUGCAAUUUGGAGGAAGGCAGGCUCCGCGAGGUCGAAGUGUUGGAGAGGAGGGUUGCACCACCCGCCAUUGUUGUUGGCCAAAGCGAAGUUGGGGGGGCAAAAGUUGGUUGCAGUGACGGUGAUGGAGCCAGGGAGGCACCACCUGGGGUCGUUGUCGCAUCGCAUUUCGAAACAAGCUCCGCAGCUCAGCCCAUUGUUGAACAGCGCGGUGCUCAGCGCCGCUGUGUUGGUUCCGUACCCCUGGCUGUACAAGUUCCCAUACCCACACGCUCCUCCUGCAAAAACCCAACUCCACCGUUAAUAAAAAAGUGAGGAAAUGGAUGAAGGAAGUGAGUUUCAGUGGGCUUAAAUCUUCGGGGUAUAUUCACUUUACGUACCCAUUGUGCCGGAGGCGUCACCGCCGCCGUAGAAGGUGGCGUGGCCGCCCUCCCAGCCACUGUAGUCGGCGGAGGCUGCGAGCAUUUGUAGAGUGAAGAAAGCGAAGAAGAAGAAGAGGCCAAAUGGAGAUGGUCGGUUGGCCAUUGGGGAGAAACACUAAAGAGGAGAGGGUGGGUUUGGUUUGUACUGAAGGAAAGAAGAGAAACGAGAGUGAUAUUUAUAAGGAGUCCUAACACCCUCCCCUCCCUUGACCCAUUAGCUUUGGGUUUAUGGCACCCCUUGAAAAAAAUACUUCAUGACUACUAAAAUCUCAAAAGUGAUUUUUUUUUCUUUUUACUUUUCUUAUUAAGUUG
rnacentral:lncRNA from 1 species